CCUACGGGAGGCAGCAGUGAGGAAUAUUGGUCAAUGGGCGAGAGCCUGAACCAGCCAAGUCGCGUGAAGGAUGACGGCCCUACGGGUUGUAAACUUCUUUUGUCAGGGAGCAAUUGAGUCCACGUGUGGGCUUAGCGAGAGUACCUGAAGAAAAAGCAUCGGCUAACUCCGUGCCAGCAGCCGCGGUAAUACGGAGGAUGCGAGCGUUAUCCGGAUUUAUUGGGUUUAAAGGGUGCGUAGGCGGAAUAUCAAGUCAGCGGUAAAACUUCGGGGCUCAACCCCGUCGUGCCGUGGAAACUGAUGUUCUUGAGUGGGCGAGAGGUAUGCGGAAUGCGUGGUGUAGCGGUGAAAUGCAUAGAUAUCACGCAGAACUCCGGUUGCGAAGGCAGCAUACCGGCGCCCAACUGACGCUGAAGCACGAAAGCGUGGGUAUCGAACAGGAUUAGAUACCCCAGUAGUC
rnacentral:rRNA from 1 species